CGGUUGCUCUUGAGCAUGAAACAUUUAAGGAGAUGCAUCCCUCUCAAGUGGGAUAGGUUUUUGAUAGUGGCACCAAAGAUAUUGACCUUGCGACUCGAUUAAAAUUUUAGGUUGAAUCUGUUGGGGAAGGAAUCAGAGACGUUGAUAGGAACCUGAAUAAUGGGCCUAAAACAGAGGUAGGCCUUGCUGCAAAGAGGUUUGUUAUAUGGAAGGUUUAUUCUAGAAGAAAGAAAGUGGGCCAAGAGAGAGAGAAGAAGAAUUUGGUUAAUGAGGUAGCAGUAGGUCCCAUGUGAUUCGGUUAUGGAGGUAUUUGUAUAAAGGGGGACGUAAGGGAAUAGAGAGAAAAGAGUAAUCAUUAGCUUAUUAGUGUUAUAGGAGAAUAGCUAUUCUCUAGUUAGAAGCUAGGCUUUGGAAUUAUCCUUUGUAUUGGUUCCCUGUUCUUAUUUACCAUUAAUACACAUAUCCAUUUACUUCAUUGAUACUAUUAUAUUUUGUUUUAUGUUAUUGAGCUACUAGUAAUUUCUUUCUAUUUUAUCAUUGGUCCGACCUAUCGGAUUCCGAGGAAGAGCUAGUGAGACGUUGCAUUUACUAUGCCACAAAAGAUGAACGAAAGAGUUGAGGUGUUGGAAGGUAGUGUGGGAGUUUUGCGUGUUAGUAUGGAGGAAUUUCAUAAAAUGAUGAUGGCGGAGUUUGGCAAAUUACGUGAUCGACGCAUUCCUGACCCGUUUUACUCCUCUCAGGAGGAAGUUAGUUCUGAGUACAUAACGACAAUGAAAAAGCCGGAGUUACCACCGAGCUGAAACUUACUUCGAGGCAUAAGGGCCAUCAGAGGAAGUAAAUGUUAGAUUUGCAAAACUAAGCAUGGAAGGGACCACCAUUCAUUGGUUCAAUCUGUUACGUGAAACAGAGGAUUAGUUGACAUGGUCAAAAUUGAAGAAAGCUUUAAUUGAACGUUAUGGAGGGAGGAAGAGUGAUAACUCUUUCGAAGAAUUGAAGGAUCUUCAACAAACAUAAUAUGUGGAAGACUAUAUUUCAGAUUUUGAGUAUGUUUCAUCUCAAGUAGAUCGCCUCCCUGAAGAACAAUACCUUGGGUGUUUUUUGGGUGGUCUCAAAUCAAAGAUCCACUUUAGAGUGAGGAAAUUUGAUCCCGAAAUGCAUACACAAACCAUGAAAAUUGCUCGGGAUAUAGAAACAGAGUUAUAGGGAACAUUUAUGCACAAAGGCAAUGGUGGGUUGCGUCAAUGGAAAGGGGGAAGAGAGACAAAGUCUGGGCUGGGUGUAUGAGUGGGAAACGGGUCAAAUUUCAAUACGGGUGGAAGGAAUGGAUCUGAAUCGCAUUUUAAUGCGGGUCCAGGUAAAGGUAAUUUUAGUUCGAGUUACUUGAGUGGAGGCUCAACAAAGACAACCCAAUCAAGUGUCAUUUCAAACCCUAAUUCGACUGGAGAGACGAUGCAACAAGGACAGAGCGACGGCGCGCCAUAAUCAGGAAUAAGGGAAUCAAACAUCUUCCCUAUUCGGAACUCAUGGAUAGGAAGGCUCGUGGUCUCUGUUUCAGGUGUGGGGAACCAUUUCAUCCUCUUCACCGAUGUUCUAACAAAAAACUCUGAUUGGUGAUUCUCGGGGAUGACGAAAUGAAAAACGACGAAGGUGAGGUGAUUGCUAUUGAACUCAAGGAGGAAGAUGAAGAAACAAGCCUAGAGUGCAACAUUUUGGAUAUUUUUGGGAUGACAUAGAUAACAAAGUUGUGCAAGUGUUGGCGGACAGUGGGGAAACCCACUGUUUUAUUAAUUCAAAGAUGGCAAUGACACUUAGUUUGGUGGUGGUGCUGAAUGUGGAGCUAGGAGUCAAAUUGGGUGAUGGCCAUGGUGUACAAAAGUGGAGGUUCAGUUGGGAAAUUUCACUACCAGAGUUAUUGCUUAUGUGUUGGAAUUGGGGGACAUGGAUUUGAUAUUUGAUGCAACUUGGAUGAGGUAAUUUGGUAAAGUCACAUUUGAUUGGGAAAACAUGGUGUUGAGUUUUCCAUGUGAAGGGAAUACGGUGGAAUUACAAGGUUUGAUGACUUCUCCAGUAGCAUUUUCUUUACAUAGUUUGUUGCAAGAUGAGGUAGUGGAGAAUUAAGUUAGCCAUAAAAGUGAGUUGAUCCUCAAGCAACAAGAGGAGUUGGAUCAAUUGUUGAAACACUUUUCGACGAUGUUCACAGAAUUGGAAGGGUUACCACCAACAAGAGAUAUUGUCCAUGGUAUAGAGCUGCAUAAGGAAGUUGCCUCAGUGAGUGUUCGACCGUACUGGAAUAUGUAUCAUCACAAGGAUGAGAUAGAACGACAAGUUCAAAAUAUGCUCCGACAAGGCAUCAUCAGGCAUAGUUCAAGUGUUUUUCUAGCUUUGUAAUAUUGGUGAAAAGGAAAUAUGACACGUGGAGGAUAUGCAUGGAUUAUAGGGAACUGAACAAGGCCACCAUUCAGAACAAGUACCCUAUUCCGGUUGUAGAGGAGUUGUUGGAUGAAUUACAUGGUGCUCAAUAUUUCUCCAAGAUCGAUUUAAAAUCGAGGUGCCAUCAAAUAAAGGUGAAAGAGGAGGAUGUGCGCAAAACGGCCUUCCAAACACAUGAAGGUCAUUACGAAUUCUUGGUGAUGCCAUUUGGGUUGACCAACACACUGUCCACAUUUCAAUCGACAACGAAUCUAGUAUUUAAACCAUUUUUAAGAAGGUUAGUCUUGGUAUUUUUUGAUGACAUAUUGGUGUAUAGAAAGCGCUGGAAUGAUCAUGUGCAAAACCUAAAUCAAGUUCUGGAGGUGUUAUAGUGCAGUGGGUUUGUGGCUAAUGAAAAAAAGUGGAUUUUUGACAGCAAACAAGUUGAGUAUUUAGGCCAUAUCAUUUCCGACAAGGGAGUAACAGUAGAUCCUGAUAAAAUAAAGAGCAUUGUGAUUUGGCCAAUUGCCUGUAAUGUGAAGGGUGUGCGAGGAUUCUUGGGGUUGACGGGAUACUAUAGAAAGUUUAUUAAAGGAUACAGGAAGAUAGCUAAACCGUUAAUGGAGUUAACCAAAAAGAAGUGAUUCAAGUGGGGAGAAGAGGCAUUACAAGCCUUCUGAAUUUUACUCAUCUGUUUGAGAUUGAGUGCGAUACGUCUUGAAGAGGCGUGGGGGCUGUUUUGAUGCAAAAGAAGAUACAAAUUGUGUAUUUCAAUAAAGCCUUGUUGAAAAACAACUUAGCCUAAUCAGCCUACGAAAAGGAAUUGAUGGCACGUGUACUGGCGGUGCAACAUUGGAGACCCUAUCAUUGGGAAGGAAUUUUGUGGUCUAUUUCGAUCAAAAAAGUCUUAGGCAUUUGUUGGAGCAAAGGAUAACUAUGAUCGAUCAACAAAAUUGGAUGGCUAUACUCCUUGGCUAUCAUUUUGAUUUUAUUUACAAACCGGCUCUGGAGAACAAGGCGGCAGAUUCCUUGUCAAGAAUGUUUGAGGGAGUUGAGUUGAAGGUCAUUUCUUCAUUUCCUAUUUGGCUGCAAAUACAACAGGUUCAACAAGAAGUGAAUGAGGAUGUUCAUCUAAAAAGGUGCUGGAUGAGGCUUUAGCAGAUUCCGAUGCCCACCCAGGUUUUAGUUGGCAGCAAGGAGUGUUACUCUAUAAAAACAAGAUGGUUUUAGCUUCCAAAUCAGCCUACAUACCAUUAAUUUUGCAAGAAUUUCAUUCAACCCCAAUAGGGGGUCAUUAUGGGUUCUUGAGGACGUAUAGAAGAGUAGCAAGAAAUUUGUAUUGGAUAAGGAUGAAGAGUGAUGUGCAGGAAUUUUGGCGCAGAUGUGAUUUUUGUUAUCGGCAAAAAUAUUUGGCUUCGUCACCGGUGGGGUUGUUGCAACCCCUGCCUAUUCUGGGGCAAAUUUGAGAAUAUAUUUCCCUUGAUUUUAUAACUGGACUAUCCAAAAUCUAAAGGAGUUAAGGCAGUUUUUGUUGUGGUCGAUAGAUUGUCCAAGUAUGGACAUUUCAUACCCUUGAAGCAUCUAUACUACAAGGAAAGUGGAAAAAGUGUUCACAGAGGAGAUAGUUUGUUUACACGGGAUACCUCAAUCCAUCGUAAGUGACCGAGACCCUUUGUUUGUUAGUAUAUUUUGGAAGUAGUUGUUUAGAUUGCAAGGAACAAUCUCGAAAAUAAGUUCUUCACGUCAUCCCGAGACGGAUGGACAUACAUAAGUGGUUAAUAAAUGUCUCGAGGCAUACUUGUGUUGUUUCGCUGCAGAACAACCUCAAAAUUGGUUGUACUGGGUAUCGUGGGCAGAAUUUUGGUUUAAUUCAAUGUACCAUGUGUCUAUGGGGGUAAAGCCUUUUGAGGUUGUGUGUGGAAGGAAGCCACCACCCAUGAUCUACUUUUCUAUAGGUGAGACACGGGUCGAGGCAGUAGCAACUGAAUUAGUGGACCAAGAUGAGGCUUUGAGGCAACAAAAGCACAAUAUGUUGAGAGCACAUCAACAAAUUAAUAAAUAUGCAGAUAGAAAAAGGAGAGAUGUAUCAUUUGAGGUGGGAGAUGGGUGUUCUUAAAAUUGAGACCUCACCGGCAACAAACUGUACCACGGAGGAUCAAUCAAAAACUAUCCCCAAGAUAUUUUGGGCUUAUCCAAUACUGGAAAAAGUGUGACCAGUGUCAUACAAGCUGAAGUUGCCCGAUCCGCCCGAAUCCAUUCAGUUUUUCAUAUUUCACAAUUAAAGAAAGCUAUUGGAAAUUACACCCUAGAACCCAAGCUGUCUGAGGGGAUGGAAAUUAAAGGGAAUGACUUGGAAGAACCUGAAUGAUUGUUGACCUCUAGAGAGAUACGUGAUAGAGGAAUGUUGGUAAGACAAUGGUUAGUCAAAUGGAAGGGACGAGCGUUGGAAGAUACAACUUGGGUGGAUGAAUGCUUGCUGGAUAGUCAAUUUCCCAAUGUUAGCCUUGAGGACAAGGUUUUUGCUGAAAGGGAUGGCAAUGAUAGGAACCUGAAUAAAGGGCCUGAAACAGAGAUAGGCCUUGCUGCAAAGAGGUUUGUUAUAUAGAAGGUUUAUUUUAGAAGAAAGAAAGUGGGCCAAGAGAGAGAGAGAAGGAGAAGUUGGUUAAUGAGAUGGCAGUAGGUCCCAUGUGAUUUUAUUAUGAGGUAUAUGUACAUAGGGGACGUGACAUAAUGGAGAGAAAAGAGUAAUCAUUAGUUUAUUAGUGCUUUAGGAGAAUAGCUAUUCUCUAGUCAAGAGCUAGGCUCUGGAAUUAUCCUUUGUAUUUGUUCCCUGUUCUUAUUUACCAUUAAUACACAUAUGCAUUUAUUCCAUUGAUACUGUUAUAUCUUGUUUUCUGUUAUUGAGCUACUAGUAAUUUAUUUCUAUUUCAUCAAACGUCUCUAUGGUGUUGGAGAUAUGUCAAAGCAUUAUAAGUCAGAUGGAAGCAAUUGAGGAGAGGGCUAAGGCUACAAAGGAUGAUGCCCGAGCUGCACGAGAGGAAAGUCAUUGGGAAAUGAGCGUACAAUAGAGUUGGAGAGGUAAUUGGAGAAAUUGGCAAAUAGUGUUGCUUCUAUAUAGUGUAACCAACAUUGUCGCCAUUCUUACGAUGAGGAGGAUGACCAACUUUGACUCUUACAACAUAGAAGACUAGAUUAUGGUUUGUUUUUCUUUGGAGAUUACUUUGACUCGGUCUGACAUCUAGCAUAUGACUUUUUUUUGAAAUAUCUAGCCAAUGACUUGAUUGGGACUUGUUUUGUGUCAUAUUAGACAUGUUUAUUGUAUAUUUCUUUUGAGACUUGUUUGACAUAUUAGUUUGAUGUUUACUUUGAGACAUGUAUGUCAAUUUGGAUCAAUGUUUAGUUUGAUGCUUGUUUAUUUCACAGACAAAAUUAAGGUUGUCAAAAUAAGUAUAUUUUGGUUUUUA